rnacentral:rRNA from 1 species
AUUGAACGCUGGCGGCAUGCCUUACACAUGCAAGUCGAACGGCAGCGGACCUUCGGGUGCCGGCGAGUGGCGAACGGGUGAGUAAUAUAUCGGAACGUACCUUUCAGUGGGGGAUAACGUAGCGAAAGUUACGCUAAUACCGCAUAUUCUGUGAGCAGGAAAGCAGGGGAUCGCAAGACCUUGCGCUGAUUGAGCGGCCGAUAUCAGAUUAGCUAGUUGGUGAGGUAAAGGCCCACCAAGGCGACGAUCUGUAGCGGGUCUGAGAGGAUGAUCCGCCACACUGGAACUGAGACACGGUCCAGACUCCUACGGGAGGCAGCAGUGGGGAAUUUUGGACAAUGGGCGCAAGCCUGAUCCAGCCAUGCCGCGUGAGUGAAGAAGGCCU